rnacentral:piRNA from 1 species
UGAAUUUCAUAAAUUUCAAAUUGUGAAAUAG